AUGCUGGGUUAUUUGUUUAACCCAACAGCUGGGUUGAGCCUGUUGGGUCAUUUUGUUGGGUUAUUUUCUUAGUGUUGGGUCAUUUUUUGAGUAACCCAAACGCUGGGUUACCAGUCUGGUCCAAUUGAGUGACAGUUGAGAGAGUAAACCCCUCCCACUCCUCUACGCAUCAGACAAACUUUACCUUCGCGGGCAUUUUGAUCCACUUCAUCUCGGAAAGCUGUUAUUCGGAGAAUAAAAGGUUGCAGAAUAACAGCUAAUAUUAAUGGAUCAUUCUAUUCAAGAGAAUGUCAACUGGAACUUGGAUGUUUUCAUAACAGGCUUAAAGAUGAACAAAUUGAUAAAGAAACCCUCCUGCUGGACAUCCACUUCCAAAAGUGCACGCCACACUGUUGUCUACAACUCCCAGGAAAAGAAUCCUCUUCAGUAAGACUGCUCCGUGGAUAUUUUAGGUUAAGCAGUGCUGAAACCGAAAGAACUAACACUAUUUAAAAUGUUUUGUGAGUUUAUAUGAAGAGGAAAGUUACCUUUUUCACAUCCAUAACGCUUAUUUAUUUCUUUUUUUAUAGAAAACUUGUGCAUAGACUGAUAUUUUAACAUAUA